AUAUUACUAAGCGGAGGAAAAGAAAUUAACUAAGAUUGCCUUAGUAAGGGCGACUGAACCGGCAAGAGCUCGAAAUUAGAAUCGGCUGUUCAAAGAACUACCGAAUUGUAAUCAGGCCCGCCUAAAUACAAAUGUUGACUAAAGUGCAUCGAAAGGCACGCCAAAGAGGGUGAAAGUCCCGUUAGGUCUUCGUUUGAGUAAGGGGGGUCCCAAAAGAGUCGGGUAGCUUGGAACUGCUGCCCUAAGAGGGAGAUAUGGUUCUUCCAAAGCUAAAUAAGGAUGGGAGACCGAUAGCGCACAAGUA
rnacentral:rRNA from 1 species